rnacentral:rRNA from 1 species
AGGAGAGUUUGAUCCUGGCUCAGAUUGAACGCUGGCGGCAGGCCUAAUACAUGCAAGUCGAACGGUAACAUGGAAGUAGCAAUACUUUUGAUGACGAGUGGCGGACGGGUGAGUAAUAUUUGGGAAUCUACCUAUCAGAGGGGGAUAACACUUAGAAAUAGGUGCUAAUACCGCAUAAGCGCACACUGAGGCAUCUCAGCGUGUGAAAAACUCCGGUGGUACGGGAUGACCCCGCGUCUGAUUAGCCAGUUGGCAGGGUAACGGCCUACCAAAGCGACGAUCAGUAGCCGGCCUGAGAGGGUGAACGGCCACAUUGGGACUGAGACACGGCCCAAACUCCUACGGGAGGCAGCAGUGGGGAAUAUUGCACAAUGGGCGAAAGCCUGAUGCAGCGACGCCGCGUGAGUGAAGAAGUAUCUCGGUAUGUAAAGCUCUAUCAGCAGGGAAGCAAAUGACGGUACCUGACUAAGAAGCCCCGGCUAACUACGUGCCAGCAGCCGCGGUAAUACGUAGGGGGCAAGCGUUAUCCGGAUUUACUGGGUGUAAAGGGUGCGUAGACGGUGUGGCAAGUCUGAAGUGAAAGGCAUGAGCUCAACUCAUGGACUGCUUUGGAAACUGUCAUACUUGAGUGCAGGAGGGGUAAGCGGAAUUCCCAGUGUAGCGGUGAAAUGCUUAGAUAUUGGGAGGAACACCGGCGGCGAAGGCGGCUUACUGGACUGCAACUGACGUUGAGGCACGAAAGCGUGGGGAGCAAACAGGAUUAGAUACCCUGGUAGUCCCCU